rnacentral:rRNA from 1 species
GGAAUAUUGCGCAAUGGCCGCAAGGCUGACGCAGCGACGCCGCGUGGAGGAUGACGGCCUUCGGGUUGUAAACUCCUGUUGCUCGGGACGAACCGUGGGUUUCGACCCAUCUGACGGUACCGAGUGCGGAAGCACCGGCUAACUCCGUGCCAGCAGCCGCGGUAAUACGGAGGGUGCGAGCGUUGUCCGGAAUCACUGGGCGUAAAGGGCGCGUAGGCGGUGGGGUAAGCGUGUGGUGAAAGCCCGGGGCUCAACUCCGGGUCUGCCGUGCGAACUGCUUCACUUGAGCACUGUAGAGGCAGGUGGAAUUCCGGGUGUAGCGGUGGAAUGCGUAGAGAUCCGGAAGAACAUCGGUGGCGAAGGCGGCCUGCUGGGCAGUGGCUGACGCUGAGGCGCGACAGCGUGGGGAGCA